rnacentral:rRNA from 1 species
GACGAACGCUGGCGGCGUGCUUAACACAUGCAAGCCGAACGGAAAGGCCCUGCUUUUGUGGGGUGCUCGAGUGGCGAACGGGUGAGUAACACGUGAGUAACCUGCCCUUGACUUUGGGAUAACUUCAGGAAACUGGGGCUAAUACCGGAUAGGAGCUCCUGCUGCAUGGUGGGGGUUGGAAAGUUUCGGCGGUUGGGGAUGGACUCGCGGCUUAUCAGCUUGUUGGUGGGGUAGUGGCUUACCAAGGCUUUGACGGGUAGCCGGCCUGAGAGGGUGACCGGCCACAUUGGGACUGAGCUACGGCCCAGACUCCUACGGGAGGCAGCAGUGGGGAAUAUUGCACAAUGGGCGGAAGCCUGAUGCAGCAACGCCGCGUGCGGGAUGACGGCCUUCGGGUUGUAAACCGCUUUCGCCUGUGACGAAGCGUGAGUGACGGUAAUGGGUAAAGAAGCACCGGCUAACUACGUG